GAUGAACGCUGGCGGCGUGCCUAAUACAUGCAAGUCGAACGGAGAGUAUAGCAAUAUAUUCUUAGUGGCGAACGGGUGAGUAACGCGUUGGUGACCUACCCCGAAGAGAGGGAUAACAGUUCGAAAGGACUGCUAAUACCGCAUGAAGUUGCAAGGAUUAGACGCCUUGUAACCAAAGGAGAAAUCCACUUUGGGAGGGGCCUGCGUCCCAUCAGCUAGUUGGUAAGGUAACGGCUUACCAAGGCUAUGACGGGUAGGGGACCUGAGAGGGUGGCCCCCCACAAUGGAACUGAAACACGGUCCAUACACCUACGGGUGGCAGCAGUAGGGAAUAUUGGUUAAUGGGCGAAAGCCUGAACCAGCAACGCCGCGUGAGCGACGAAGGCCUUCGGGUCGUAAAGCUCUGUUCUUGGGGACGAAUAAAAUGACGGUACCCAAGGAGAAAGCCCCGGCUAACUACGUG
rnacentral:rRNA from 1 species